rfam:Danio rerio chromosome 4, GRCz11 reference primary assembly.
AUCGGUACCCUCACAAAAGCACUGACUUUGAUGCUGUAUUUGGUAAGUGCUAUUUGUUGGGGUAGUUUUA